AUGUACAGUUAUCAUCUGCACGCUCGUCUGGUGUUCUUUUUUAUGCUCGCACUAUUCUUCCGUCCAUCGCACGGAAUGUUGAGUCUUAUUUUGGUUGGUCGUAGCGAGAAUGCCAACACUCCGUUGCUACAAUCCAAGCUACCCCACCUCAAGAACUUGGAAAUUAGACUCAGAGCAGUCCACCCCAAAGGCUCCCCUCCAAGCUAUGACUUCUUUUCUUUGGUUUCUUUUCUUGAUGCUUCUCCUGCCUUGGAGUCUUUCACCCUACACGUAAAUGAGUAUGUCAUGAAACACUAUCCUGUUGUUGGAGAUAAUUACGAAUGCCCGAAGCAGAAGCUGGACUUGUCGCAUAACCGCCUCAGACACAUGACGAUCACGGGAUUCUGUUCAGCCAAGAGCCUGGUUGAGCUCACGGUUCACAUCCUUGAGAGCACACACUCGCUUGAGCGCUUGACGCUGGACACAACCUAUGACUACAAUAGGUGUAUUCAAGGGCCUGGUACCAUUGGCAAAUGCACUACCUCAAGUAGGAUUGCCAAAUGCUGGCCGAUGAGCAAGAGAGGUGUUGACGAAGCUCAUAGAGCUGUGAAGACUGUUGGUAGAUACAUAGCUGGGAGAGUUCCAUUGGCUGUUCAAUUUGAGCUCAUGGGGCCCUGUAGUCGAUGCCAUACCGGCAGCCGGUAG
rnacentral:rRNA from 1 species